rnacentral:lncRNA from 1 species
GGGCAUAGAUAUCUCAUGGUGAAAGGAGUGGAGGUGUGGGAAAUUAAUAGCAUAUGGGGUUUGUUAGUUGGUUAAGUCCUAUUCCAAAUAGCUAGGACUCAUGAUUGAUCAAACUCUAACUAAUUCUUAGAUCCAAUCCUAAUCAACUUAAAAAUUAGUUAUAACAAACUAACUAAUUAAGUCUUAGCCUAAUUAGAAAAUCAAUUAGGCCCU